UUUAACCCCACACAGAACAACGGAUAUAUCGUAUACAUACAUACACGCAUACACGAUUCGUCGUCCACUUCCCAACGUUCCCCGACAACUCGUACGAUUCCAGCGACGGCUCUGUUCUAUUCCUCCUUGAUUCGCGGAGAAUUUGCCACAUAAAGCUUUGAGAAGCUUCAAUCGAUCAUUCACCGUCUACCUAGCUUCAAAAUCCAUCCGAAUUGGUUGAAAUUGGGUAUCUUUUGAAAGGGAUUUGAGGAUAUACCUGAUCCAGUUCAAAGAAUUUGAAUUUUAAAUUGGGAUUUUCGCCCAAAACCCCCUCUAUUUUUCCGCCCAUAUUCCCAAGUUUUCCCCCCUUGAAAACCCUAGUUCUUUCCGUAUAUAAGGCUUUCAUUCCCUCAUCUGUGAGGAGGUUCUGGUUCCUUUGUUUGGGCGGAAAGAAAACGAAAAUUUAGACUAAGAAAUCCCAAAUAGUUUGAUUUUAAAAGGCUUGGAAUUUGGCGUCUACAAUUUCUGGUGUUGGGAAUUCGGAGUUUCCCUUUUCAUUUCAUCGGAAUACGGCGAAGCUCCUUUGUGGUGGUAGAAAGCUCAUAGUGACCAGCUCAGUUCACAGAGCGCUGCUCUAGAAAAGAUUCUUGACAUGACUUAAUCUUUCGAAGCUUCACUCGAGCCAUCUUUACUAUGUCCUUACGGAUCUAUGGUUGAUUAUUAUGGUUUGUGUCUCAAAUUUGAUGUUUCUUGGCCUUCUUCUAGUUCUCUCUCUCUCUAUCUCUUGAUUGCGUUCUUUAUUUCAUUAUGUUCAUUUGAUUAUCCUUUUGGCUAUAAUAUGAUUUAAUUGUUAUUCGAGCUUUCAUUGCAGUACCAUGUUGAUGGUCUCUUAUUUGUUUGAUACCUCUAUUAGUUGAUUGUCACUUCUCUGUUAUUAAGAAUUAGGCAUAUAGAUUUUUAUUUUUAUUUAUUUAUUCUUUUUUCCUUUAAGUUACCAAGUAAGAAUGUGAUCACUUCUCCCUUUGUCUUGAUUUAGAUAAUAUUGAAGUUUAAUAAUUUGAUCUAUUUUAUGCAUGAACCCACCCUUUGAGUCCGUUAUGGAUCCCUUUCCUUCGUUACAUUCCGAGUUUGGGCCAAGAGCCCCAAUGAUUAUGCCCGUUGAGUCAACCUUAUCACCGGACGAAAAUGGGAGCUAUAAUACAGGUUGCGGAGUCUUGAAAUGGACCGUAUACGCCUAAUAUAUGGUCCGAUAUACAGGGAAUUUGUGCUGUAUACACUGAUAUAUAGUGUAUAUACAACUGUUAUACAGAGAAUUGGGCCUAAAGCCCUAAAUGCAGGUGGCCCAACUACUUAGUUCAUACGUACAAAAAUUUAGUGUUGGGCCAAAUUUUUAUAUUUUUAUUAUUUUAUUUAUUUAUAUUUAAUUCGGAUUGUAAUAAUUUAAUUAUUUAAGUUAUUUUUAUUUGUUUAGA